GUAGGACACAGGACCGGAAGUCCCACCAGGUGCCAGGUGCGAGACUCCUUCACACACGUGCAGGAGAGCUAGUCCAGCAGCUCCUAAUGCACCGUCAGUGAAGUUGGACUGAUUUAAGUAUGUUAAAAGAUUACUGAGCGCAAGCUGUGUUCCCAGGUUCCUGGUCCCCUCCCUUAGGAAGCUCACCAUCUGGUGAGAGGAAGAUAACACUGCACUGUAACUAGCGUGCAGAGGGCACUUGUGCAGUCCAGAUGAGCGGGCCUAACGAGGACUUCACAGGACGGGUACCCAGCUCUGCUUGGAAGAGAGGGGCAGACAGGAGUGUAUUCCAAGUAGAAGUUGCAUUUUGGCACUCUGGGGGAAAGCACGCAAUUCAACAAAAAGAUAUAAAAAGAGAAGACGCUGAGAAAGAACUCUCCAGGAGAAGGAGUCAAAGAUCUUGUAGUGCUGAGGAGAUCAAAAGGAGAGAAGCUCUCGAGAAGGAAGUGCCGUGUCUAAUCCCACAGAAAGUGUGGGGACGCAGCAAGAAGAUUGCCGUCUGCAAACUGGUAAGAGGAAUUUCAACAGGACUCAACCCUGUUGGCACUCUCAUCUUGGACUUUACAGCCUAUAGAACUAAACGAUGGGGCCAUCCUCUGCAUCUCUAUUUAAGACGUAGAUUAACAUGUGAAGAGGAACAGGAUCCAGCCAGAGCCCCACAACAUGGCACCAGAAACACCCAUCAAGACACCAAAUGAAAGAUCUUGUCAUAUGGGUUUUUCAGAGUUUGGUUACACUAUAUCUUCCACAU
rnacentral:lncRNA from 1 species